GCUGGGUGUGGUGAUGCAUGCCUGUAAUCCCAGAAGCUCGGCAGGCUGAGGCAGGAGGAUAGCAAGUUUAAAGUCAGCCUCAGCAAUUAAUGAGGCCCUAAGCAACUUAGUGAGACCCUGUCUCAA
rnacentral:sRNA from 1 species